rnacentral:tRNA from 1 species
GGGCCCGUAGCUCAGCAUGGAUUAGAGCGGCGGCCUUCUAAGCCGUAGGACCCGGGUUCAAAUCCCGGCGGGCCCGCUA